rnacentral:rRNA from 1 species
UGCCAGCCGCCGCGGUAAUACGGAGGGGGUUAGCGUUGUUCGGAAUUACUGGGCGUAAAGCGCGCGUAGGCGGAUUGGAAAGUUGGGGGUGAAAUCCCGAGGCUCAACCUCGGAACUGCCUCCAAAACUCCCAGUCUAGAGUUCGAGAGAGGUGAGUGGAAUUCCAAGUGUAGAGGUGAAAUUCGUAGAUAUUUGGAGGAACACCAGUGGCGAAGGCGGCUCACUGGCUCGAUACUGACGCUAAAGCUCGAAAGCGUGGGGAGCGAACAGGAUUAGAUA